AUUGAACGCUGGCGGCAGGCUUAACACAUGCAAGUCGAGCGGAGGGAGGUAGCUUGCUACUGAUCUUAGCGGCGGACGGGUGAGUAAUGCUUAGGAAUCUGCCUAUUAGUGGGGGACAACAUUUCGAAAGGAAUGCUAAUACCGCAUACGUCCUACGGGAGAAAGCAGGGGAUCUUCGGACCUUGCGCUAAUAGAUGAGCCUAAGUCGGAUUAGCUAGUUGGUGGGGUAAAGGCCUACCAAGGCGACGAUCUGUAGCGGGUCUGAGAGGAUGAUCCGCCACACUGGGACUGAGACACGGCCCAGACUCCUACGGGAGGCAGCAGUGGGGAAUAUUGGACAAUGGGCGCAAGCCUGAUCCAGCCAUGCCGCGUGUGUGAAGAAGGCCUUAUGGUUGUAAAGCACUUUAAGCGAGGAGGAGGCUACUUUAGAUAAUACCUAGAGAUAGUGGACGUUACUCGCAGAAUAAGCACCGGCUAACUCUGUGCCAGCAGCCGUGGUAAUACAGAGGGUGCAAGCGUUAAUCGGAUUUACUGGGCGUAAAGCGCGCGUAGGCGGCUAAUUAAGUCAAAUGUGAAAUCCCCGAGCUUAACUUGGGAAUUGCAUUCGAUACUGGUUAGCUAGAGUGUGGGAGAGGAUGGUAGAAUUCCAGGUGUAGCGGUGAAAUGCGUAGAGAUCUGGAGGAAUACCGAUGGCGAAGGCAGCCAUCUGGCCUAACACUGACGCUGAGGUGCGAAAGCAUGGGGAGCAAACAGGAUUAGAUACCCUGGUAGUCCAUGCCGUAAACGAUGUCUACUAGCCGUUGGGGCCUUUGAGGCUUUAGUGGCGCAGCUAACGCGAUAAGUAGACCGCCUGGGGAGUACGGUCGCAAGACUAAAACUCAAAUGAAUUGACGGGGGCCCGCACAAGCGGUGGGGCAUGUGGUUUAAUUCGAUGCAACGCGAAGAACCUUACCUGGCCUUGACAUAGUAAGAACUUUCCAGAGAUGGAUUGGUGCCUUCGGGAACUUACAUACAGGUGCUGCAUGGCUGUCGUCAGCUCGUGUCGUGAGAUGUUGGGUUAAGUCCCGCAACGAGCGCAACCCUUUUCCUUAUUUGCCAGCGAGUAAUGUCGGGAACUUUAAGGAUACUGCCAGUGGCAAACUGGAGGAAGGCGGGGACGACGCCAAGUCAUCAUGGCCCUUACGGCCAGGGCUACACACGUGCUACAAUGGUCGGUACAAAGGGUUGCUACCUAGCGAUAGGAUGCUAAUCUCAAAAAGCCGAUCGUAGUCCGGAUUGGAGUCUGCAACUCGACUCCAUGAAGUCGGAAUCGCUAGUAAUCGCGGAUCAGAAUGCCGCGGUGAAUACGUUCCCGGGCCU
rnacentral:rRNA from 1 species